rnacentral:rRNA from 1 species
GAUGAACGCUGGCGGCGUGCCUAAUACAUGCAAGUCGAACGAGGUACUCUUGUAGCAAUACGGGAGUAUCCUAGUGGCGAACGGGUGAGUAACGCGUGGGUGACCUACCCCAAAGUGUGGGAUAACAGUCCGAAAGGAUUGCUAAUACCGCAUGUGGUCUCCGGGUUUAGAAACCGGCGACUAAAGCAGCAAUGCGCUUUGGGAGGGACCUGCGUCCCAUCAGCUAGUUGGUGAGGUAACGGCUCACCAAGGCUACGACGGGUAGGGGACCUGAGAGGGUGACCCCCCACAAUGGAACUGAAACACGGUCCAUACACCUACGGGUGGCAGCAGUAGGGAAUAUUGCACAAUGGGCGAAAGCCUGAUGCAGCAACGCCGCGUGCGCGAUGAAGGCCUUCGGGUCGUAAAGCGCUUUUCUGAGAGAUGAGAAAGGACAGUAUCUCAGGAAUAAGUCUCGGCUAACUACGUGC